AUGGACAUCCAGAGGCCAGCCAGGAUAGCGGCCCAUGGUGGAGUCGACGGUGGGAGGAGCCAUGGUGGAGGAGGAGCCGACAACACCAGGGGGCCGACUGACGGAGACUCAGCCAACCAGCGGAGAAACAGGAGGAUCAGGGCUGGGCGGAACCAGGGGAGAAACAGGAGGAUCAGGGCUAGACAGAACCAGCGGAAGAGGAGCAGAGGAACUGACAGGUCUAGGAGGAGGCAGGAGAGGGAGGUUGGGAGGGAACACAGGAGGAUCAGGGCUGGACAGAACCAGCGGAGAAACAGGAGGAUCAGGAACUGCCUCCCCAAACCAGUCUAUAAGGUCCAAUAAUUCCUCUCUAUAAUUCCCAGAAACCAAAUGCAGCUCACCCUCAGUCGCAGGAGUGUGGGCAGGGCUUUCCUCCACGCCCUCAAUCUCCACCAAUCGUCCCACGACGCACGGUGUUGCCGGCUCACACACCUGGUCAGUCGCGCACUCGAGUUCCUGCUCCCUGUCGGUGAUAGGCUCGGGCUCUGCGGCUGCGGUGGGCUCUAGCUCCGUGCAGCGAGAUGGUGGCUGGCUGGUCUCUGGUUCCGGAGUGGGGCUGGAGAGAUCCUCUUCGGCGGUGCAGAUGGUAAAUAGGGAUCCAUUUUUCUCCAGCACCCACUCCACGAAAGUGGCGAAAUCCUCUCUGGGACCGUUCGCUGGGAGGCGUGCCUUACACCGCUCACUCAGGCCAGCAUAGUAGAAUGCACAGAGCGAGCGGUCAGGGAAGUCCAUAAGACACGCCAGAUCGAAAAAGGCCCUGGUAUGGUCCUCCAGCGAACGGUCCAGUUGCUCCAGGCACAGGAGUUGGACUGCUGGGAUAUCCAAUCCGAGAGGGGGGAAAACAAAAAAACACAAAAAGAAAAACGCAACUAAACUGUUUUGGUAAUGUAUUUUGAGCAGUGUAUUUAAAAAUGUAAUUUAUUCCUGUGAUCUGUUACAGGGGCUGGUGUGCUAGUAAAACGCUCGACGAAGGAAAUAAAUAAAAGGGUACUUUAAUGAUCCA
ensembl:lncRNA